UGGCGCGGUAUAGUCACAACCGGGUAUUUCGGGCCGAACUGGGUUCGGGCCCGAAAUGCAAUUUGAAUUGAAAUAUUUGGCAUUUUUAUUUAAUAGUGAUAAUCUGAAAUUAAUUGGGUUUGAAAUGUACAUGAAAUGACAAUUAUGCCCUUGUGAGUGAUUAUGCAUGAUUGUAUGGCCCUAGGGGCAAAAUGGUCUUUUGACCUUUAUUGAUUUACUUUAAUAAAAUUGAUUUUUGAGGGAAUGAAAUUAGAAAAUGCUGGCUUUUGCUUCCUCUUGGCUGACCCUCUCUCUCUCUAACCCUUUCUUAUUUUCAACUUUAAAUUGGUGAGAGAUUAGCUUGAAUUAAAGAUUGUUUGUUGGGAAAAUUGUGUUGAAGGCUUGGAGUUAGCUUGUGCAAGGAAUUGAGGAUUACCGGCACCUGAUCAGGAGCACCCAGGGGUUUGGAAUCUCCUUUAUUGCGGGACAACAGGAAAGGGUAAGUCAGUGGCUGAUCA